CCUACGGGAGGCAGCAGUGAGGAAUAUUGGUCAAUGGCCGAAAGCCUGAACCAGCCAAGUCGCGUGAGGGAAGACGGUCCUAUGGAUUGUAAACCUCUUUUGUCAGGGAGCAAAGGGCGCCUCGUGUGGCGUCUUACGAGUCCCGGAAGAAAAAGCACCGGUCAACUCCGUGCCAGCAGCGGCGGUAAUACGGAGGAUGCGAGGGUUAUCCGGAUUUAUUGGGUUUAAAGGGUGCGCAGGCGGAAUGUCAAGUCAGCGGUAAAAUUUCGGGGCUCAACCCCGUCGUGCCGUUGAAACUGGUUUUCUUGAGUGGGCGAGAAGUAUGCGGAAUGCGUGGUGUAGCGGUGAAAUGCAUAGAUAUCACGCAGAACUCCGAUUGCGAAGGCAGCAUACCGGCGCUCAACUGACGCUCAUGCACGAAAGCGUGGGUAUCGAACAGGAUUAGAUACCCCAGUAGUC
rnacentral:rRNA from 1 species